rnacentral:rRNA from 1 species
UGGGUAACCUGCCCAAGAGAUCGGGAUAACACCUGGAAACAGAUGCUAAUACCGGAUAACAACAGAUGAUGCCUAUCAACUGUUUAAAAGAUGGUUCUGCUAUCACUCUUGGAUGGACCUGCGGUGCAUUAGCUAGUUGGUAGGGUAACGGCCUACCAAGGCGACGAUGCAUAGCCGAGUUGAGAGACUGAUCGGCCACAUUGGGACUGAGACACGGCCCAAACUCCUACGGGAGGCAGCAGGG